GGCGCUAAUCAAUCCCUCCACCACACACAUCUACCCACAGCCGCCGCCUCCACAGCCAAUCCAUCCAACCUCUUCUUCCUCCUCCGGCUGCUCUCCCCCUUCAUUCCUCCAAACCCUAGCGCAAACCCUAAUGUCCACCACCGCACACCCUCCUGCCUCCCUCUCAGGGGACUCCUCGCCGACUACCUCCGGCUCAUCCUCCCCCUCCUCCUCCGCCGCCGUCGCUGGCUCCGAGGAGCCCGCGCUUCUCGGGCAAGCCACCUCGACUUCCACCCCCUCUGCUGCCGGGGAUGACGCCGCCGUCCCCUCCUCGCCCCAAAUGGGCAUGUACUUCGAGACGGAGGACGACGCCUACGAGUUCUACAAGGCAUACGCCGCCCGCCUUGGCUUCGUCGUCCGCAAGUCCAACAAGUCCAAGAACUCCCGGCACACCGUCACCCGCCGUCUCUUCGUCUGCUCCAAGCAAGGUUUCCGCCAAGAACCCAAGAAGCCUCAAGAUGAGACCAACGCCACCGACGUCACCGUUGCUGCAUCGCCACCGCCUCCUAGGUGCCCGGACUCACGCACCGGCUGCUUGGCGUCCCUCACCAUCAAGCUACUCCCUUCGGCCAAUGCCUUCCGUGUCACUGAAUUUGUCGCCGAGCACAACCACCCGCUCGCCUCUGCAGUGUCCGCGGUGGCAAUGAUUCCGUCAAGUUCUUCGCAUCACACCAUUGCCGCUGCCGCAAGCUUGCCGGACCCAAGGGACGGGCCACGCCCAGAGAUGCACUUCGAGACGGAAGAUGACGCCUAUGCCUUCUACAACCGGUACGCCGAGCAUGUGGGUUUCAGCGUCCGCCGCUCAUACAAGAAGCGCAAGCAUGGGGUGAUCGUGUCUCGUAUCUUUGUUUGUUCCCGUGAGGGCGUCAGUGACCGUGCCAAGCAUGAUGGCCUAGCCAGUAUCAGCGCCAAUGCUGGUGGAGGGGCACCAGGCCCACCUAGGCCAGGCCCACCACCAACACGAACAGGUUGCCAGGCAAGAAUGGUGAUCAAGAUCACCCCAUGCCGAACAUACCGGGUUGCUAAAUUUAUUGCGGAGCAUAAUCACCCACUCGCUAACUCAGAGACCGUGCACAAGCUGCGGUCCCAUAAGAUGAGGGCUCGAGGGCAUGAGCUUGGCCCAGGGGAACUGCAUCGAAGGAAGCAGGGAAAGGGUGUGCAGCUUGGGGAUGCUGGUGCUGCAUUGGAAUACUUGGAAGGGUUGCAGGUGGGAAACCCUUCACUGUAUUAUGCAGUAGGAAUGGCACCUGAUGGGAAUUUAGCUGUAAAUUUCUUCUGGGCUGAUGCAAAGUCAAUCAUCGACUUCAGAAGCUUUGGUGAUGUCGUUUGCUUUGAUACAACAUAUGGGCUGAAUGUGUAUGGGCGACCAUUUGCAUUGUUUGUUGGUGUGGACAACCACAAGCAGUUACUCGUGCUUGGUGCAGCCUUGCUCUAUGAUGAUGGCAUCCAGUCACUGAAAUGGGUAUUUCAGGCGUUUGAUGAUGCCAUGCGUGAUAGGCAGCCAAAGACUAUUCUGAUUGAUGAGCGUUCUGAAUGUGCCAUUGCAGCAGCAGAGGUCUGGCCUGGGAGUAACCAUUGCACAAGCGUGUGGCAUAUAUACCACAGUUCAAAGAGGCACUUGAAGCAGGUGUUUGAAAGCUCGAAAAGUUUUGGCAAUGCUUUGAGCCAGUGUCUCUUUGACUGUGAGGAUGAGAUGGAGUUCUUGUCUGCAUGGGAAAAGCUAAUUGAGAAACAUGACAUUGGUGAGAGUGAAUGGCUCAGCAGACUAUUUCUAGAGAAAGAAAAAUGGGCUCUGCCUUAUAGGAGAACUGUGUUUUCUGCUGAUAUUCUCAGUACUCUUAGAAAGGAUAGUAUGAUUAAUGAGCUAAAACGGGAGCUCAAUGAGCAAGAAGAUAUUCUGCUGUUCUUCAAGCGUUACGAGACCAUGCUGGAAGAGCAUCGCUCAAAGAAAUUGCAGGCUGAUGUUGAUGGAAAUCAGGUGACUUUGCCAAUCCCGUCCUUGCGAAUGUUAAAACAAUCUUCAAAUGCAUAUACACCUGAAGCUUUCAAGAUGUUCCAGGGUGAGUUUGAGGCUUACAUGAACUGCAUGUCCUUCCCCUGCAGUGUGGUUGGGACAGUGUCAGAGUACAAAAUAACACUUGAUGAGAAGCCAUCAGACGCCAUUGUGAAAUUUGAUGCACUAGAUGGCUUGGCCACUUGCAGCUGCAGGAAGUUUGAAUCUGUUGGAAUCCAGUGUUGUCAUGUACUAAAGGUACUUGAUCUCAAGAAUAUCAAGGAGCUCCCAGAACAAUACAUUUUGAAGAGAUGGAGGAAAGAUGCCCGCUCUGUUAGAAUGGGAGAAGAACCUAACUGUGGAUCUAGCAGUAUCAUGCGGUCAUCUUUGGAUGUUCGCUUCUCUAACAUGUGCCGUAUGGUUAGCCUUAUAGCUUCAAGGGCCGCCAAAUCUGAGGAGGCAAUGUCAUACAUUGAGAGUCAAUCAAGCGUUCUUCUGAAGCAUCUGGAUGAAAUUCUACAGACAAGCUAUCCUGAGAAUGGAAACCAUGAUGUUGCUUCAAGUAGUCAAGCAAUUUCUUUUGUAGGAAAUCAUCCUGACCAUACAACACAAGCAAGAGCAGUUGCAGAUACAGCGAAUGGUAUAAUGUUUUAACAUUCCAACUCAUUAUAGUUUAGCAUGUUAUAAUGGAGGGGGCAGAUUGUAGGUUGCGAGACUCCUAAAUUGGACUGGUGGAUGCUUGGCGGGCAGGCAUCAAAACUAUGUUGAAUUUUAACUCAGUCUCUUGUCCUCUGUGUUGUUACCAACGUGUUUCAAGUCUCUAUUUUCUAGUCAUGUGAGGACUUCCCUGAUACACCAACAUGGGGAGAAGACCACCACAGCCGGCGGACAGGCUAGGGGCAGUGAGGCUAAGGGCUGGCGUCCUGGCUAUGCCCUGCCCAUUAUGUUAGGAGAUACGAGAUUGUGUUAGUUUAAGGUAAAUGAGAUUGUGUUAGUUUAAAGUAAGUUUGGAUUUGAUCUCUAGAUAAAUCUGUCAGGAAACCCCUCUGUAUAUGAGGAUGCUUUUGUCAAUGAAGAACGGGCAACAAGUAUCUCCAAUCCCUUAUCUCUUUUCUCAGUGCAACCCUUUUGCGCGUCCCCCUCCAGACCGUGGGCUGAUGUGUAAUUACCAGUUGUAGAAUGGCAGAGGCAAAUAGAGCUCUUGCACAUUUUCGUUAAUCCAUGAACAGAAUCUAUGUAUGUAGACACAUGGAUCCGUACGUCUCGAUCGGAAAAGAAUCAAUAGAAGGAGAAUCGGACGAUAUCUUUCUCGAAACAAACAAAAAGGAAAAGAAAGAGAAAACAGAAAUCAUGAUCAAUGCUGUCUAGGGCAUGACAGUAUAUGAGACGAAAGCAGAAAACAUGCUGAUGCUUAUUGCCUAAUGCCUGCAACCACCCACUCGCCAUGCUAAAGUUUGUGUGUGCCCAGUCAGAUGUUUGACAUGCAGAUUAAUGCUAUUUACCGAGAAGCUUUUCUUUGUUGUUGCACAUAGCCGCCACAUAUUCUAUAACAAGAAACUGGAAGCUCUGUUAAUUCUGCAGCUUCUGUGGUUUGUAUAACAUGAUAUUGCCGAGAUUGGGGACUGACAUCCUUGUUGGGAAUUUCUGCUUAUCCUCCAGUGGACAAUUGAAAGGUUCAGUCGGUUCCUUGUAGUUUUAGCCAAAUCUAUGUUGAAGUAUGGCUAUGUACAGUACUUAUAUGUUGCCAUGUUGAUGUAAGCAAGUAUAUCCUGAAGACCUUGCUGUUUCCAAUUUGACAGUUGGAGAAGAGCUGCUAAAUUGCUCGUGCUAUAUUUAUUCUCCCAUGUGCAAUUUAAAAAUGCACACAGACUAGACAGCUGCACUUGCAUGUCAGAAUCAUUUAUGUCCCCUGCUGUCCAGUUCUGCGGUACUCCCUCCGUUUCACAAUGUAGUGCGCCCACGCUUCCUGUACCACAGAAUUCGUAUUUUUGCUCUCGCUGCAGUUGGUCUUGUUGGUUAAAUUUAUGGUCAAACUUAGAUCUCGGAAAGCGUGAGCGCUCUACAUUGUGAAAUGGAGGAAGUAUUAUGGUUGUCAGAACUAGCCAUUUCUGGUCACCACUGCAGGAAGCUCUACUGCUAAACAGCAUCCUUAUGGACAGGGGCCAGUUGGCAUGUCUGGUUCACAGUCUGCAUCCAGCCAUCAACAGUUUGCAGGUCAUGCCGGAAUUGAUUGUUUGUUUGCCGUGGAUCCCUUGUUCGCGAGUUAGGAUAAGCGUUCCAGUCAGAGUCCCUGCGUAGUGGAGUUCGUUGUUCCGCUACUAGAAGUUAUUCUGCUGUUUCGAGUUGUUUUGCUGCUUGCAUAAAGUAACAGUGGCAAGCGUAGUGUCGUCGUGCCGAUGUAAUUUCUCGUUAUAUUAGAACCCCUUGUACCCAAUAUAGAUUGUAAUAAAGAGCUGAUUUGUUCUAUACUAAGUAGUGCCGUAUUUCAGAAGACUUCUUCUCUAUUUCUGGUCUGGAAUACGGAACGAUCCGGUUUCUCUUAGCCGGGGUUGUCACAUUUCUUGUAUUCACGCAUCUUCUGUACUCAGUUCAACACGACCAAGGGCAAGCAGCGCUUCACCACCA